AGGUGGCCGGAGCUGUGGGGGUUCCAAGGGGAGGGUAGGCCUCUCUUUAAAGAGGACCAAGGGGAGGAGUCGGACUCCUCCUCGGCUUUUGUCUCUGACGGGAAGCCAGGCGCAAUAGGACUCCCUCUGGGAGUCCAAUUCCUCCACACAGCACGUGCACAGCAUGUGCUGUCCAUUUUUUUUUUUUUGAUGUGCUUUUGUGGGCUGGGUUUAGGGCUCAAUUGGGU
rnacentral:lncRNA from 1 species